rnacentral:tRNA from 1 species
GACCGCGUAGCUCAGUUGGCAGAGCAUUGGGCUAGUAUUCCAAAGGUCGUAGGUUCGCUUCCCAUGUACCGUGGCCA